ACUCAGGUGAGAUCCCAUCCCUUGUUUUUCUUCUCCUCGAUUCUUUUCCUCCGCGAAUCUAAAAUUAUAGGGAUUUUCUCCGGAUUCAUGGAAUACAGUGGUCGGGCCUCGCCAGUCGCCACGCCGCGUGCUCUUCCGGCGUCAAGGGAGCUUCACAGUUUCGCUCUUCAGUACCGGAGUCGGGCUCGCUUGACUAUUGCGCCAAGUAUGGGGAUGGGCGACGGCGACCCGAGGCUUCCCCGUGAUCUGUUUCUUUGAUGUCGCCAUGGCGUAUUCCGGACGGCCAAGGCAGGAGCCGAGACAAGGAGGUCCCCGUGGCCAGCGAGCCACAUGGGCAGGCAGCCGCGUCCAUCAUGGAGCUGCAAUUCAUCUUUGUUUACCUCCUCGACUCCAUUCUCUUGAUAUGGGAGUGUUGUUGUCUCCACCUUGGCACUAACCCGAGGCUCUUUCUUGAUUCCGUCCAGGCCCAAGUAGAUUUGCACAUCUUCAUACCUGGGAUUUUCUACUUGAUGCAUCUCCUCCUGGUCAUUGUGAUUUUUUAUGUGGAGCACAAAGUUUGGAUGGCAGUACUUCUUUGGGUACCAAUCGCCCUGCUCCUAGUUCAUUUUCCGAAAAAAAUUUCAUAAUCCAUGUGAUUUUGUCAACACUGUCUGCUCUUUGUGGCAUAGUUUUUUUUAAAUAAAUUUUGAAAUAUGUAAUUUUGUGAGAUCUCGGGUUAAUAAAACUAGUUGCAAACAAUUACUAUCUUGGUUAUUAUCAUGUUGGUUAAGUUUUCCUAAUUUAUUCAGCCUGACUUUUCUUCGGCUAUGACAAACACCUUAUUUUCAUAGGGUUUUUUUGUCCUACUUGGGAAAUGGAAUUAUUUCCUAAUGCACCGUAGAUCAUUAUUAAUAUAUGUAUUUAUAUUUUCAGGCCCUGCCAGAGAAAACUGCCUUGGAAGCCAUUAGCCACCGACGGGACCGGAAAAUCCAUUCUCAGUGUGGCUGCGCUUACCCUCGUUCGUCACCGCGAGGAUUGUGCUGGAGCUGCAUCUUGGGCGGCGGCGACUGGAGGCUCCCAUGGAUCUGGGUUCUACGUUUUCCUUUAUUUUUCGAUCUGGGCCCACAUUUUUUCACAGCCUCCGGUCUUCGUCUUGGUUUUACAUGGCGGCCACCAUCAUCGUCCUCACAUAUUUUCUGGCAGCAGGAGGAUUUCAGUAGUAGAAAUUUAAACUAUUGAAUGCACAGCUUUGCCACUUCAAGUUGUAGAACUUUCUAAACAAGUUAGCACUUUGUUGUUGCAGGUCUAAUUAGUUAGUGCUUCGGAUUGUUGUGUGAUGGAUUGUUGUUUAUGGUAAUUAGGACAUGAGUUUGCUGCAACACCCGUGGAUGAUUAGCCUACAUAUUAAGUUAUUCCAUUAGGUGUGCUCAUUACACUUAUAUCUAUGCUGUUAUAUGUAACUCACCAUUAGAGUGUAGUUUCUAAAUAUUCUGCUCCAAAGAGAUGUGUCGUUGCUGUUAUAAGUUGGAGGAUAUUUUUUGCUCA